GCUGUAGCAGAACGAUAGCAAACAAUCUAUUAACCUGCACUCAUAUAAGAUAUGUAAAACUGAAUGUGUAUCUACAUGUGAAUUGGUCACAUAAGUGUGGCGUUUUUUCAAUGUAUCUGUAUGCUUUAAGUUUCCUCAUCAAACAAAUAUAAAUAGUCAAGCAAGAAAUAAUCAGUAAUAUUCUCAAAGAAGCUGCUUUACUCUCGUCACGUUUAUUGACUGGGGUUAAAUGAUUUCUUCUGUUAUCUAUCGAAAGUAGACCAUACAAUGUAUAUCCUUUUCUUUGCUUUCAUUCUUUAUACAAUAUAACUAUUAAUAACGAAUGCUAUAGCUGAUACUUAAUUUUCUUUUCUAUGGACUGGAGAAGUAUGGUCACUUUUUUCUUGUUGUAGACAAUAUUCUACCUCUAAAUAUCGUAUAUGACGUUCUCACGCACCUUGCCUGUGAUAUAACGUGAACAUUACAAAAAAGGGGGCAAAUAAAAAUAUGUAUCGGCUCCAAAAUAUUGAAUAUAGCUGUGUCAAUACGGCAUUUUGAUACCAAUCGCCGAAUUUGAUCUCAGAUAUACUAUCUAACGUUUAGUUAUCUGCCAACGGCUAACUCCGAUGGUCAGUUAUGCCACACCUCCAACUAUACUCUAACUAACGUAACUGCUAAGAGCAGCAUUUUGUACCGCAACUACGAACAGCGAUAGCAGAAAUCGAAACGUUAUCCGAAGAAACCUGUAGGAGAUGAUACGAGAGCGAGCCGUGCUGGGUCUGCUGCGCAAAACAUAUGUCUUUCUUUAUCGGGAACUGGGGCUCCCACGAUAGCAUUUGUGCCCUCAAGUCGUUCGAUGGCCACUGUCCAUCUAAGCAAUGCUUCUGCCGCAGUAUUUGCUGUGCCAUGCAGUUCUCCGACAAUAACGAAAUAUCUAAGAAAUUGACGGCCGAUCGGACAGACGCCGACACGAGGACUCUGUUGGACGUUUACGAAGCAGAGCGCCCAAAGUUUAUGACUCGAGGUCUUGUCUGCCGUAAAUUAUGGGACGAAAUCGCGAAAAAGAUUAAUAGCCAGAGGGGUCGGAGAUUUAAGGGAUUUCAUUGCGAAAACAAAUGGAAGGUUUUAUUGCGAAGCUACCGUCGUGCUGGGCGGGCUAAAGAGAAGGGUAACGUCAAUGCCGAACAGUUCAAAAGAACGCACCCUCUGCAUGAGAGAAUUAAUUCCAUACUGACGCAGGAGCCGUCUCGAGACAUAACUGUAUCGAUAAAAGAUACAAAUGUACUAUCUCGGGAGGAACGCCGUGUGUGGAACAUGGCUGACUCCCGAAGAUUGUUGACAUACUUCACGCAGCUACGCCAACGAGACAAGGUCGGUUUUAAUCUCGCAAAAGCCGAAUGGGAAAAAGUUGCCGGCCUCAUCAAUAUAGGCUCAAGGCCGAAAAUAAAGCAUUUACUAUGAAUGGAUCGCAGUGCUACUCCAGAAAGAAAGCCCUCACGUGAGCGGCGGUUGCAAGAUGUUGCACAAGCGUCUAAAAAAGCUGAACGGGGCAUUGGAAGCUGUGCUGAGUCAAAUUCGUCGCCAUCAGUGAUCCAUCCAAAAACUGUUCGCACUCCGAAUGGUGAGUUCGCAGCGUACUUAGCCACUCUCAUCGAUGGGCUCAGUGCGGAGCCCCUAAGGGACAAGACGAUGCAGAACAUUCUUCAAUAUGUGUUCAACUUUCGAAAGAAGGUACGUUUAGAAAAAGCGGCUGCAUUUAUGGCCGGGUCGUCUUGAUAAAAGUUUUUCUUCGUUACAAACAGGACGAAAUGUUAUUGCCAGCGUGAACGAUUAUGAUUAUUAUAUGUGCGUCAAUCUCAUACUACGUGACUGCGGAGGCCAUACCUGCUGUUAUCACAACAGGUAUUCAACAGAAAUUAGACCAGAACAAAGCAGACUCUUCCACGUGAAGUCGUAAUUUCAACAACUCAGCGUCAAGUUGUCCACUCACUGUAUUGAGGCUUGCCUGUGGAAUCAUUCUCUCGUUCAGAGUAUGUGAAAGAUAUUACUUAUCUACCCCAGCAAUCUUGUUUGCAAACCAUAUGAUUGGUUUUACUAACAAACUUCAAAUAUGAUUUGAGCGAUCCCGCCAAGAAUAACUUGUGUAAGGUCUUUUCAAGGUUUAGUUUUAGGGAUAGAAAUAUUAACUUCAGUAGCCGUGUCUUGAAGCAAACAAUCUAAAAGCAGUGUCUUCACUUAGAAAUGCAUAUUGUUUUAGUAAAAAUUCCAGCAUCAACAAAAACCUAAAAAAGAAAUUGAAAAAACAAUAGUAAAAAUUCCAGCAUCAACAAAAACCUAAAAAAGAAAUUGAAACACAUCGUAACCUUUGUUAUUAUGGAAGAUGGAUAUGUAAGAUGAUUUUGGUAAAAGUCACGAUAUUCUUCAUCUAGGUUUCAUCAUUAAGGCUCUUUAUUGUAAUAUAAACUAUUUGCUUAAAUAUAAAUAACAGCUUGUGACUACGGCGGCGAUGCGAACAAAAUAAAAGAGUGUUUAUUAUUGCAUUUUAGUCUUCCUCUGUGUUUAGGCUUACACUUAUCUCAGCACUCUACUAUGAUAGGAUUAGAACCUUUCCACGAGUAUAGAUGAUUGACGAAAGCUUUAAUAAAUUUGCCAGAACUCCAUUGAUUUUUGGUAGUUUUCUCAAAAUCGGUCUCGCUUGUCGACCAGGCUAAGUAUCAUCUCACUGUUGACCUAGAUUUUAUUAGAAGUAAAUCACUUUAGGCGAUCAUAUCAUUUUUAUAGUAUUGACUGUCGCAGGAACUCUUCAGAAAAUAAUGAGUAAUAGACGAAGCCAACACAUAGAUUCUGUCAUUGAAAUACUUAUUAGGUUUUCAGGAAAUAUUAAAGGCUCAAAAAGGUUAACCUUUAAAUUAUCUGAAAUAGAACAACGAUGUUUUGGUAUGUGUUAGAUGUAUCCGCCUUUAUGGUUACUCUAUUGAAGUCGGAACUCUGGGAGUUUUGCAAUAACUGUGUACGCGUGUUCUGCAUUACAAUGCGUAACCUCAUUUUCGAUGGCUUAUUUGGGAAUAUUAAUUUUUAAGAUAGCAACUAUCGUCUCUUCUUGUGCAUCAAAGAAUUUAAGUCACACGGGCUUCAACCUGAAAAUAUGCGAACCGAUGACAUCGUUCAAUUCAGUCUUCCUGAAGCCAGGCCUCGGCUGAAAUUCGAGCGUGGCGACGCCUGCGAUGUCGUCGGGAAUUCAAGAUACCUAUGCAGCACUGACCGUUUCCUUACCAGGCCUUCUCACUUUCGGUUCUUCGCCAAUCUAUGGUUUAUUCUACCAACGCUUCCAUCUUCACGAACCCAAACGAUAGUUUCUAGUGCCGCUCCAUCAUCGUAAACAACCACGGACCUCAUAUUAAUGCUGUUUAGCUUUAAAAUUACUCAAAUUUAAAGAUAACAUCGGUAAAAGAUAACACCAUGCGCUCAGGUUAUAAAAAAACAAGAAAGUUCUUUAUUACACGAAUAUUUUCCCCUUGCAUAGCAAUUAUGGGUCUAUUACAAGAAGGUUCUAGAAAUCAUAUUGUUUGGUAAUAAAAUAGUUUUAUAUAUCAUAUAUUUUUCAUUUAGUAAUAAAAGUAGCAUUGAUAGACGAUUUACGCUAAUGCACUAGAUUGUUUUACAUAAAGUUUCGGUUGUACGUGUCUCACACACAAGUUAAAAAUUAACUUGCUGCUCUUUUGUUCGAUGCCUAGACAGUAAAACUCGAAUGCAGGAGGUAAUUUCUUUUUGCGGCGAAAAUACAAUUCUGCACGCAAUUUAUUUUACGCGUUUGCUUGUUUGUAUCCUGCUGUUAUUAGGUUGUUUUAAAGUAUAAGUCGAAGGUAGCGUUCAACCUAUGGCAGAUUUUCAGUUGGCCAGAAAUUUUCGAAUCAUUCCUAGCCACAACAGCUUCUAGGUUUGUACAGAUGUUUCGAUCGUGAAACAAACACCCGAAAGUCUGUUGCUCUAGCAUUGGUCCCAACAACGACGAUAGCAGCAGCAGCAAAAAUGGAGCCAUCGGCAGAAGGCGUCGCCGGCCCAGGCGGCGCGCUGGUCUGACCACCUACGAACGGAGGGGACCGAGAGAUUCGAUCAUAAGCAGUGAUCUCGAUCGGUAUCUAUCUGUUUAUGAUGCAUACGUAGAGCCGUAAGUUAAAUCUCUUUCUGCGUUUCAUCUGUUUUUUCCCCGCUUGCGACCUAUCGGACCAGCUAACGUCAUCUAGCCGACGCUAUGCGAUAGGCCGCUACGUCAACUGCAGCUGCGCAAUAACGGGAAUCGAAUAGAAUAGUUGCCAUUGUCGUGAUCAUCAUUAAACCGACGUGGCUUUUUAUCUCACCGUCUGAUUCACUGAUGUCCGUUGAAAGAAUCGGAUAUAAUUUAACAUAAGAAUAGAGUAACAUACGUCGCAGUUCUCAAGGUACUUGGUAUACCUACAGAUCAGUGACAAAACUCCAAUAUUUGUAAAAUAUUAAUCCUUUAACUAACAAAUGUGCUUAAUUCGUGCUUUGGACAAUUAUUGUUUUCGCUCAAACUUGUUGCCAUGACAAAAUAUAUAUUUCAUUAUCGGCUACACUCUUAAAAUAUUGUUCUUAAGUGGGGAGCAAAUAUAAUAAAUCUAUCUGUUAUUUAUGCUUUCGAGUAGUGUUUUUUGCUUUGCGUGCUCUAGUUGACCACUGCAUGGCACAGGUCAUGUCAUAGGACCUAUCUCGAGUACUCAAAUACGAUGAACCCAACGAACACUACUAUAUAUUGAUCUAUAAGCUAGCCGCUUGUUGGGUUAAGUAACCAGUGGCCGACUUGUGACAGCCUCUACAAAACUUCUUAUAUUCAUUUACUUGCUUCGGUCGCACUCAAAUUUUGUUUGCCGUUACAUCUUUUCGUGUUCGGUACCUUCUCUGCAAUUCCUAUACAGAUAGCAUUUAGUCUAAUCUCUGAAUGCGGAGCAACCAACAUCGCGGUAAAAGUAGUCGCUAGGCAGAAGUCGUUACAGGAGCAAUGCUUGGAAGCUCUUCCUGGAGCGUCAAUGCCACGAUGCCACUUUAGCAAUCAUCAGGCAGAUAAACGGAAGAGAAGCACCGGCGUUGCUUCUGACGUAAACGUAAGCUCUCAUUAAAUGACUAUGGCAGCGCCUGGCUGAAGCCGGAAUCUAAGAAGAACGUGAGUGUUGCACGGCGCGACGUAAUGGAAACGCGCCUUGAUCCACCCGCACUCAUAUAGGCUCUUCGCUGUACCCACUGUGCCUGUGAUGACUCCUGCUACUGCUAACAUCUAUUGCCACUAGCGUUUUACCGCAACGUCAGGACGCUCCAGGUCUCCGUUCCUACAACAGGCUGCUGUGCUACACGUGUGCAUCGUUU